rnacentral:rRNA from 1 species
GAUGAACGCUGGCGGCGUGCCUAAUACAUGCAAGUCGAGCGAACGGACGAGAAGCUUGCUUCUCUGAUGUUAGCGGCGGACGGGUGAGUAACACGUGGAUAACCUACCUAUAAGACUGGGAUGACUUCGGGAAACCGGAGCUAAUACCGGAUAAUAUUUUGAACCGCAUGGUUCAAAAGUGAAAGACGGUCUUGCUGUCACUUAUAGAUGGAUCCGCGCUGCAUUAGCUAGUUGGUAAGGUAACGGCUUACCAAGGCAACGAUGCAUAGCCGACCUGAGAGGGUGAUCGGCCACACUGGAACUGAGACACGGUCCAGACUCCCACGGGAGGCAGCAGUAGGGAAUCUUCCGCAAUGGGCGAAAGCCUGACGGAGCAACGCCGCGUGAGUGAUGAAGGUCUUCGGAUCGUAAAACUCUGUUAUUAGGGAAGAACAUAUGUGUAAGUAACUGUGCACAUCUUGACGGUACCUAAUCAGAAAGCCACGGCUAACUACGUG